rnacentral:tRNA from 1 species
AUUAUUUUGGCAGAUUAGUGCGAUUGAUUUAGGUUCUUUAAAUAUAGAAUUUUCUAUAAAUAAUA